rnacentral:tRNA from 4 species
CGCGGGGUGGAGCAGCCCGGUAGCUCGUCAGGCUCAUAACCUGAAGGUCGCAGGUUCAAAUCCUGCUCCCGCAACCA